rnacentral:rRNA from 1 species
UUGGUUAAGUUAGAAAGGGCGCACGGUGGAUGCCUUGGCACUAGGAGCCGAAGAAGGACGGGACUAACACCGAUAUGCUUUGGGGAGCUGUACGUAAGCGUUGAUCCAGAGAUUUCCGAAUGGGGGAACCCACUAUCUUUAGUCGGAUAGUAUCCUUACGUGAAUACAUAGCGUGAGGAAGGCAGACCCAGGGAACUGAAACAUCUAAGUACCUGGAGGAAGAGAAAGAAAAAUCGAUUUCCUGAGUAGCGGCGAGCGAAACGGAAAGAGCCCAAACCAAGAAGCUUGCUUCUUGGGGUUGUAGGACACUCUAUACGGAGUUACAAAAGAAAGUUAUAAAUGAAGCGGUCUGGAAAGGCCCGCCAAAGACGGUAACAGCCCGGUAGUUGAAAUGGCUUUCCCUCCAGAGUGGAUCCUGAGUACGGCGGAACACGUGAAAUUCCGUCGGAAUCCGGGAGGACCAUCUCCCAAGGCUAAAUACUCCCUAGUGACCGAUAGUGAACCAGUACCGUGAGGGAAAGGUGAAAAGCACCCCGGAAGGGGAGUGAAACAGUUCCUGAAACCGUGUGCCUACAAGUAGUUAGAGCCCGUUAAUGGGUGAUAGCGUGCCUUUUGUAGAAUGAACCGGCGAGUUACGAUUUGUUGCAAGGUUAAGCGGAAAAAGCGGAGCCGUAGCGAAAGCGAGUCUGAAUAGGGCGCAUAAGUAACAGGUCGUAGACCCGAAACCAGGUGAUCUACCCAUGUCCAGGAUGAAGGUAAGGUAAUACUUACUGGAGGUCCGAACCCACGCACGUUGAAAAGUGCGGGGAUGAGGUGUGGGUAGCGGAGAAAUUCCAAUCGAACUUGGAGAUAGCUGGUUCUCUCCGAAAUAGCUUUAGGGCUAGCCUCGAGGUAAAGAGUCAUGGAGGUAGAGCACUGUUUGGACUAGGGGCCCUUCUCGGGUUACCGAAUUCAGAUAAACUCCGAAUGCCAUGUACUUAUACUCGGGAG